GUCAUUGGUGGUUAAGAGUGACAGUGGGGAACAAUUAGUGUUUUCAUAAAACUUAGACUUAGGGCUGAGGAGAGAGCAGGAAGCAAUAUAUCUGUGGCUUCCUCUGAACUUGGGCCUCUGAAAAGUUUAUACUGUUAAGCAGACAGAAAGAACAAAAAAAUGGAAGGAACUGCUUGCUCCAGCUAACAAAGCGCACCCAGGAAUUAAAUCCAGGCUGCAUUAUCCCCCCACCCUACAUGCAGCCUGAGGAUGCUGAUUUGGCCAGUACCAGGCUGCUCUGUAUUGGACAUCUCAUCAUUGC